rnacentral:rRNA from 1 species
GACGAACGCUGGCGGCGUGCCUAAUACAUGCAAGUCGUGCGAGGCUCUUCGGAGUCGAGCGGCGGACGGGUGAGUAACACGUGGGCAACCUGCCCGACAGACUGGGAUAACGCUUGGAAACGAGUGCUAAUACCGGAUACGCUUUUGAGGUGCAUGCCUCGAAAGGGAAAGUUGCUUUUGCAGCACUGUCGGAUGGGCCCGCGGCGCAUUAGCUAGUUGGUGAGGUAACGGCUCACCAAGGCGACGAUGCGUAGCCGACCUGAGAGGGUGACCGGCCACACUGGGACUGAGACACGGCCCAGACUCCUACGGGAGGCAGCAGUAGGGAAUCUUCCGCAAUGGGCGCAAGCCUGACGGAGCAACGCCGCGUGAGUGAUGAAGGCCUUCGGGUUGUAAAACUCUGUUGUUAAAGAAGAACGUAUCUAAGAGUAACUGCUUAGGUAGUGACGGUAUUUAACCAGAAAGCCACGGCUAACUACGUGCCAGCCGCCGCGGUAA